GAUGAACGCUGGCGGCGUGCUUAACACAUGCAAGUCGAACGGAAAGGCCAGUGCUUGCACUGGUACUCGAGUGGCGAACGGGUGAGUAACACGUGGGUGAUCUGCCCUGCACUUCGGGAUAAGCCUGGGAAACUGGGUCUAAUACCGGAUAGGACAAUGGUUUGGAUGCCGUCGUGGAAAGUUUUUUCGGUGUGGGAUGAGCUCGCGGCCUAUCAGCUUGUUGGUGGGGUAAUGGCCUACCAAGGCGUCGACGGGUAGCCGGCCGGAGAGGGUGUACGGCCACAUUGGGACUGAGAUACGGGCCAGACUCCUGAGGGAGGCAGCAGUGGGGAAUAUUGCACAAUGGGCGCAAGCCUGAUGCAGCGACGCCGCGUGGGGGAUGACGGCCUUCGGGUUGUAAACUCCUUUCGCUAGGGACGAAGCGUAUUUGUGACGGUACCUGGAGAAGAAGCACCGGCUAACUACGUG
rnacentral:rRNA from 1 species